CUCUGUAAGCCCCAGGUCUCAGAGAGACAAUUUGGCCUCCAGCCCUGGCACAUCCAGUCCUGGCCAGGCAUCUCUGCCGCAGGUAGGCGCAUCGCUGCAGCCGACCGCUAUCUGAGGUCCUGAAAGGCUCCGGACGCCGCGAUCCCGGGUUGCUGUCCAGGGUGCUGAGUCUUAGAAGCCGCAGUCCGGGAGGCGAGCCCACCCGCGUCAGCCCUCCCAGCCAGCACGACCCGCUUGCCUCCCGCCAGCCUGCAGCUGACGUGAAGCAGGCGGCAUAAAUCAAGUCCGUGGGGGCAUGGAGGCUGCUGUUGCCGCUGCAUCUCAGCUCGCCCGCCUGGGGCGGGAACUCCCCCCUUCUCUCGCCUCCCAGAGCCCACACCCUGCCUGCUUCUCAGUUCUUCCUUGGAUGAUAGAGCCUUAACGACAACAGUCCUAAUAAUAGAGUUGGAAAUGCAGGUGGAUUUCUAUUUGCUUUUGUUUUUGUUAUUUUCUUUACAGAAAAAAAAGCAAAACAACAGCAACCACAAAAAAACCCUAACAACCUAAACAUCUCUGAAAACUGCAUUGCAAGACUGAGGAGAGGGUCCCACCACUUUCAAAAGAGAGACUCAUCCUUGGAGCCCAGCCACCAUGCUGUGAGGAAGCCCAGACCUUGUGAGGAGGUUUCAUGUUUGAAUGAAGAUGGGUGAAUCCACAAGUGUCCCCUGGUGGGAACCAGCUUUAAAAAGGAAGCCGAUCGUGAAUUUCAAAGACAAAACAU